rnacentral:lncRNA from 1 species
GCCCGAGUCAGCAGUGGCAACCUGCUCAGGUCCCCUUCCACGCCAUGGAAGCUUUGUUCUUUUGCUCUUUGCAAUAAAUCUUGCUGCUGUUCACUCUUUGGGUCCACAUGGCCUUUAUGAGCUGUAACACUCACCAUGAAGGUCUGCAGCUUCACUCCUGAAGCCAGUGAGAUCAUGGACCCCUGGGGAGGGACGAACAACUCCAGACGCGCCACCUUUAAGAGCUGUAACACUCACUGCGAAGGUCUGCAGCUUCACUCCUGAAGUCAGCGAGACCACAAACCCACCAGAAGGAAGAAACUCCAGACACAUCUGAACAUCUGAAGGAAUGAACUCUGGACACACAAUCUUUAAGAACUGUAACACUCACUGCGAGGGUCCAUGGCUUCAUUCUUGAAGUCAGCAAGACCAAGAACCCACUAAUUCUGGACACAUUUUGGCAGCCCAGAUGGGACUAUCGCCUAUCACCAAGCGGUGAGUACCAUCAGACCUCUUUCACUUGCUAUUCUGUCCUAUUUUUCCUUAGAAUUCGGGGGCUAAAUACCGGGCACCUGUCGGCCAGUUAAAAGCAACUAGCAUGGCUGCCAGACUAAAGACACGGGUGUCAGGCUUUCUGGGAAAGGGCUCUCUAACAACCCCCGACUCUUCGGAGUGGGAGGGUUGGUUUGCUUGGAACCAGCUUCCGCUUUUCCCGUACUUCUGGGCUGAGCCGAGGGUUGACAGAGAGGAAAGCCAUUCAGCUCCAGGGUCCCAACAACAAGUUUGUUGACCCUGCGGCCAUGAGCGGAAUUCUCAAAGGCAUGUCGCCCAAGCGAGACUCACCCAUCUAUCCUAUCUAUCCUGACCCUUGCCCCCUGGGUCCUAAUGCCUG